rnacentral:rRNA from 1 species
CAGCCGCCGCGGUAAUACGAGGGGGGCAAGCGUCGUUCGGAAUUAUUGGGCGUAAAGGGUGCGUAGGCGGCUUGACAAGUCUUGUGUGAAAUCUAUGGGCUCAACCCAUAGUCUGCACGGGAAACUGUCGGGCUUGAGAAUGGGAGAGGUGAGUGGAAUUUCCGGUGUAGCGGUGAAAUGCGUAGAUAUCGGAAGGAACACCUGUGGCGAAAGCGGCUCACUGGACCAUUUCUGACGCUGAUGCACGAAAGCUAGGGGAGCAAACAGGAUUAGAGACCCCGGUAGUCCCUGUCUCUUAUAC